rfam:Ciona savignyi cont_32579, whole genome shotgun sequence.
GCCCGGUUAGCUCAGUCGGUAGAGCGUUGGACUUUUCAUCCAACGGUCAAGGGUUCAAGUCCCUUAUCGGGCU